rnacentral:rRNA from 1 species
UACGUAGGGGGCAAGCGUUGUCCGGAAUCAUUGGGCGUAAAGCGCGUGUAGGCGGUCCGGUAAGUCCGCUGUGAAAGUCGGGGGCUCAACCCUCGGAUGCCGGUGGAUACUGUCGGACUAGAGUACGGAAGAGGCGAGUGGAAUUCCUGGUGUAGCGGUGAAAUGCGCAGAUAUCAGGAGGAACACCGAUUGCGAAGGCAGCUCGCUGGGACGUUACUGACGCUGAGACGCGAAAGCGUGGGGAGCAAACAGG